ACUAUCAUGUGAUUCGCCCACCUACUGUGCCAACAUGGCGGCGCCCAGAUCGUAAUUCGGAAAACGUGCACCCUGACUAAUUCGGUUUUCUGUGGCUACAAGAGCAGGCUUGGCGGGCGGAGGCGCCAGCGGAUGUCUCAUGCAAGGAUCGUCUCUGUGGCUAAGCCUCACUUUCCGCUCCGCCCGGGUGCUCUGUAGAGCCCGGUUUUUCGAGUGGCAGUCCCCAGGGCUGCCGAAUCCAGCAGCGAUGGAAAACGGCACCGGGCCCUACGGAGAAGAACGCCCACGUGAAGUCCAGGAGACGACAGUCACCGAGGGGGCUGCCAAAAUCGCCUUUCCCAGCGCCAACGAGGUCUUUUAUAACCCGGUGCAGGAAUUCAAUCGGGACCUGACGUGAGCAGGGGUCAGACGUUAGCCUGGCAUCGGCUGGUGGGUCAAUGUGGAUGGCGGGGGCGGGGUAUGAGCUAGUCCUCUGUCUCCCACCAGAUGUGCUGUGAUCACCGAGUUUGCUCGCAUUCAGCUUGGGGCCAAAGGAAUCCAGAGUGAGUGGAGGUCCAGGCUUCUGGUGGGCGGGGGUCACACAAGUCUAUCU
rnacentral:sRNA from 1 species